GGAUACAGUCAUGCUACCGCUAAUACCUGCAUCAGAACUCCUAAGCUGAGCAUUCUUGGGCGAGAUUAGUACCAGGGUAGGUGAUCCCUAGGAAGUCCCUUGUGUUGUGUUCC
rnacentral:rRNA from 1 species